rnacentral:rRNA from 1 species
CAGCAACGCCGCGUGGAGGAUGAAGGCCUUCGGGUUGUAAACCCCUUUCGGGAGGGAAGAAACUGACGGUACCUCCAGAAGAAGCCCCGGCCAACUACCUGCCAGCCGCCGCGGUGUAA